rnacentral:rRNA from 1 species
GACGAACGCUGGCGGCGUGCUUAACACAUGCAAGUCGAACGGAAAGGCCCUGCUUUUGUGGGGUGCUCGAGUGGCGAACGGGUGAGUAACACGUGAGUAACCUGCCCUUGACUUUGGGAUAACUUCAGGAAACUGGGGCUAAUACCGGAUAGGAGCUCCUGCUGCAUGGUGGGGGUUGGAAAGUUUCGGCGGUUGGGGAUGGACUCGCGGCUUAUCAGCUUGUUGGUGGGGUAGUGGCUUACCAAGGCUUUGACGGGUAGCCGGCCUGAGAGGGUGACCGGCCACAUUGGGCCUGAGAUACGGCCCAGACUCCUACGGGAGGCAGCAGUGGGGAAUAUUGCACAAUGGGCGGAAGCCUGAUGCAGCAACGCCGCGUGCGGGAUGACGGCCUUCGGAUUGUAAACCGCUUUCGCCUGUGACGAAGCGUGAGUGACGGUAAUGGGUAAAGAAGCACCGGCUAACUACGUG